AGAGUUUGAUCCUGGCUCAGAAUCAACGCUGGCGGCGUGCCUAACACAUGCAAGUCGAACGAGAAAGUGGAGCAAUCCAUGAGUAAAGUGGCGCACGGGUGAGUAACACGUGACUAACCUACCUUUCAGUGGGGGAUAACCUAGGGAAACCUGGGCUAAUACCGCAUAAUACCUACGGGUCAAAGCAGCAAUGCGCUGAAAGAGGGGGUCGCGGCCGAUUAGCUAGUUGGCGGGGUAAUGGCCCACCAAGGCAGUGAUCGGUAUCCGGCCUGAGAGGGCGCACGGACACACUGGAACUGAAACACGGUCCAGACUCCUACGGGAGGCAGCAGUGGGGAAUUUUGCGCAAUGGGGGAAACCCUGACGCAGCAACGCCGCGUGGAGGAUGAAGUCCCUUGGGACGUAAACUCCUUUCGAUCGGGACGAUAAUGACGGUACCGGAAGAAGAAGCCCCGGCUAACUUCGUGCCAGCAGCCGCGGUAAUACGAGGGGGGCAAGCGUUGUUCGGAAUUAUUGGGCGUAAAGGGUGCGUAGGUGGUUCGGCAAGUCUUGUGUGAAAUCUUCAGGCUCAACUUGAAGUCUGCACAAGAAACUGCCGGGCUUGAGUAUGGGAGAGGUGAGUGGAAUUUCCGGUGUAGCGGUGAAAUGCGUAGAUAUCGGAAGGAACACCUGUGGCGAAAGCGGCUCACUGGACCAUUACUGACACUGAGGCACGAAAGCUAGGGGAGCAAACAGGAUUAGAUACCCUGGUAGUCCUAGCCCUAAACGAUGAUCGCUUGGUGUGGCGGGUAUCCAACCCUGCCGUGCCGAGCUAACGCGUUAGCGAUCCGCCUGGGGAGUACGUCGCAAGCUGAAACUCAAAGGAUGACGGGCCGCACAGCGUGAGCAUGUGUUAUCGACGCACGCGAGACUUACUGGCUCGAAUGUAUGACU
rnacentral:rRNA from 1 species